rnacentral:rRNA from 1 species
UACGAGGGGGGCGAGCGUUGUUCGGAAUUAUUGGGCGUAAAGGGUGCGUAGGCGGUUUGGUAAGUCUGAUGUGAAAUCUAUGGGCUCAACUCAUAGUCUGCAUCGGAAACUGCCGGGCUUGAGUGUGGGAGAGGUGAGUGGAAUUCCUGGUGUAGCGGUGAAAUGCGUAGAUAUCAGGAGGAACACCUGUGGCGAAAGCGGCUCACUGGACCAUAACUGACGCUGAGGCACGAAAGCGUGGGUAGCAAACAGG